GCAACUCGCCUACAUGAAGUCGGAAUUGCUAGUAAUCGCGGAUCAGCAUGCCGCGGUGAAUACGUUCCCGGGCCUUGUACACACCGCCCGUCACACCAUGGGAGUCGGUAACACCCGAAGCCUGUAGUCUAACCGCAAGGAGGACGGCAGUCGAAGGUGGGAUUGAUGACUGGGGUGAAGUCGUAACAAGGUACC
rnacentral:rRNA from 1 species